GGUCGAUGUGCUCUUCAAUGUAGCUGGUGCUCUCGCGGACGCGGAAGCCCUCCAGCAGCGCUGUGGGUGACCGGGGGACAGCCCAUCACGGGGAAGCAGC